UACGGAGGGUGCAAGCGUUAUCCGGAUUCACUGGGUUUAAAGGGUGCGUAGGCGGGUAAGUAAGUCCGUGGUGAAAUCUCUGAGCUUAACUCAGAAACUGCCGUGGAUACUAUUUGCCUUGAAUAUUGUGGAGGUGAGCGGAAUAUGUCAUGUAGCGGCGAAAUGCUUAGAUAUGACAUAGAACACCAAUUGCGAAGGCAGCUCACUACACAAUCAUUGACGCUGAGGCACGAAAGCGUGGGGAUCAAACAGG
rnacentral:rRNA from 1 species